UUAUGACCAUAACACAUUGAAAACACUGGUUCUCACACGAUCACCAAAGAUAAGCAACAUUGUGCCUGGCCAAUAACUAAAUGGGUGACCACUUGAGAAUACCAGGUGCUGUAAG